GGCAGGGUAGCUCAGUUGGUAGAGCACUGGUUGCAUUUACCAGAGACCCGGGUUCGAGUCCUGGCCCUGCCA
rnacentral:tRNA from 1 species